rnacentral:rRNA from 1 species
AGCAGCCGCGGUAAUUCCAGCUCCAAUAGCGUAUAUUAAAGUUGUUGCAGUUAAAAAGCUCGUAGUUGAAUUUCGGGGUUAGUAGGUUGGUCAUGCCUCUGGUAUGUACUGGUCUCACUGAUUCCUCCUUCCUGAUGAGCCGUAAUGCCAUUAAUUUGGUGUUGCGGGGAAUUUGGACUGUUACUUUGAAAAAAUUAGAGUGUUUAAAGCAAGCUAACGCUUGAAUACAUUAGCAUGGAAUAAUGAAAUAGGACGUUCGAUCCUAUUUUGUUGGUUUCUAGGAUUGACGUAAUGAUUAAUAGGGAUAGUUGGGGGCAUUAGUAUUCAAUUGUCAGAGGUGAAAUUCUUGGAUUUAUUGAAGACUAACUACUGCGAAAGCAUUUGCCAAGGAUGUUUUCAUUAAUCAAGAACGAAAGUUAGGGGAUCGAAGACGAUCAGAUACCGUCGUAGUCUUAACCAUAAACUAUGCCGACUUGGGAUCGGAUGAUGUUAAUUUUUAAUGACUCAUUCGGCGCCUUAC